rnacentral:lncRNA from 1 species
CCUUAGUUAUUCACCCCUAGUUAUGCUAUUGAUGCCACCAGGGAGAGGUUGUAGUGAAAACUUCCGGUGACAAAAGUCAAGAAAUGGAGAAGAUAUAGGAGACAACAACAUUGGAGAGAGUUUCAUACUAUUGUUGAAGAAACUUUGGCAACCUCCAGAUCAACCAAAGGGCAGAUCCAGAGUGUGUCCCUUCACCCAAGGAAAUGUGAUGUUACUAGCAUGAACUGUAAAUAAAGCAUCAACUGCUUCCUGACCAGAAUGUGG